GCAAACUUGGUCAUUUAGAGGAAGUAAAAGUCGUAACAAGGUUUCCGUAGGUGAACCUGCGGAAGGAUCAUUACAGAGUUCAUGCCCUCACGGGUAGAUCUCCCACCCUUGUGUACCCCUAUCAUUGACGUUGCUUUGGCGGGCCGCCUCGGCUACCGGCUCACGCUGGUAAGUGCCCGCCAAAGGCCUAAACUCUGAACAUUAGUGUCGUCUGAGUCCUAUAUAAUCGCUAAAACUUUCAACAACGGAUCUCUUGGUUCUGGCAUCGAUGAAGAACGCAGC
rnacentral:misc_RNA from 1 species